rfam:Lutibacter flavus strain DSM 27993 genome assembly, contig: Ga0070584_11
CAAGUGGAAGUCGAAAAACUUAUAGAGUAGGCA